rnacentral:sRNA from 1 species
CCUUAGGGACACACACAGUCCAGACAGUGCCGCGCCACGUGGCUCUGCAGUGUUCGUGAACAGGAAUUGCACGGAACUGAAUGCCCGGGAUCCCAGCUGAUAAAGGGAACCUGAGCUACCAACCAAGCUGCUCCUCUAAUCUUGAGAACUUCUGAUUCCCAGCCCUGCAGGGAAGACAUACUGGUAUCUGAUUAUUGUUCUUACAGAAACUAAGGAUGAAAACCGAAGAAGAGGCCCGGAUUCAUACGGAGAUUGAAAUGUUCCUUAGAAAGGAGCAGCAGGGUUAUGCAUCUGAAUAGAUAUCUUAUAUAGCUGUAAUUUGAGAGAGUACAGGCCCUACUCAGAAGACCUGUGCUAUUUACAGAGUGACUGUGCACUGGGGAAAGCAAACUACCCAGGCCUUCUGAGAUGACUGAAGCAUUGCCUCUGAAUUGACGUUUAUGCACGGGGACCCAAAGUGACACCGUGGCCACUAGUCAAAAUGGGAGAUUUUGGUGGUUAGGUGACAGAUACCUCACUAAAAGUUUGUUUUGUUUUGUUUUGUUUUGUUUUCCUAAUCUGGAUGCGUACUCAAUUAGGGGGAAAAAAAAAGAAAGAAAGAAAAAAGUUUUUUUGUCCAUUGAGAUAUUUUUUCUCCUUUAAUGUGUUAAUAAAGUGGAAUACAUUGA